ACCUGAAUGACCUAUGUUUAUCUUACUUACCCCUUUAAAGAUUCUAUUUCCAGAUACAGUCACAUUCUGAAAUAUCAGGGAUUAGGACUUGAACAUAUGAAUUUUGGUGCGGAGGGGGGUGGCAUAAUUCAACCUGAAACAGAAGCCAUCAAAUUUUUUCCCUCAUUUGUUUCCCUUGAAUAUUAUUAUUGGAAGGACAGAGAGAGAUUUCCUGAGCCCAGGGAAUUGGAGCACCUGAGGGGAGGUGCUUAUCUCCUGACCUCCACCCCACUAGGCGACCUGGCUGGCCGCAGCUCAGCCCCAGAAGAAGUGGUAUAUUCGCACACUGGAGCCACAGUUAACCAGUUCCCAAACCACAGCUUCAAUAUUUUAAAAUGCAUAAAACAUGAGAUCACAUUUAGCAAUGGCACUGUUUUAUUUGGCAUCACUGGGUAUAUCCGCGUGUCUUCAUCUAAAAUAAUACUGAUGCAGAUGAGAAGCAUUAUUUAUCAUGUCAAAAAUUAGAAACAGCCUCAGUGUCCAACAAUGGGGUUUAAUAGGGUAGAAUUUUAUGCAGCCUUUGGAAACUGCUGUGGAAAAGUAUUUGUUGUGUGAGGAAAUAAUCAUGACAGAUGAAGUGGGGGGAAAAAGCAGGUUGCAAAGAAACAGGUAUAGUUGGAUCCCAAUUUUUUGAAAAAGGUUUAUUACAUGUGCAUAUUUAUAUGUAUAUAUGUGUGUAUAUAUGUGUUCAUCUGGAAGGCUAUACUCCAAAAUAUUUAAAAUUGUUUUCUUGCAGUGAUGGAAUUAUGUGUACUUUAAGUUUUUUUCUUCUGUUUUUCUAAGUGUGUGUCCCAUAUUUUCUAAAAUAAACAUAUUACUUUUGCAAUUCAGGGGAAAAUCUUAAAGAUAAAAAUCUUGAUAACCACUCGGUUUGUAGAAAGUUUCCUCUAACUUAGCCUUUUUCAUAAGGAGCUGCCUCACAGCUUUCCACAUAGGGCUGCAUUUACAAAAAUGUAAUUUACUCACCAUUUUCCAGAUACAGCUCUCAGCCACAAUUACCUGGAUUCUAGAAUAAUUUUUGUGACUGGCCUGAGAACCUCUUCUCUAUUUUUGUUUUUCCACCUGGCACUAUUUUCUCAUUAAAGGACUUUUAGGAGUAAAUGCAGAGAAAGGGUGGAGCCCCAAAGACCUGGAAAAAAAAAAGCCCUUAAAAUAAAUAAAUCAGUGGACUAGUUUAAUGUGUCUAAAAUAUCAUCCAAGGAGACCCAAAAAGAAGCAGGAUGUAACUUCACAGUGACUUUGUUCCUUCUAUUUCUCUUUACUUAUUUGAGAGAUCCUUUAAGCACACUUCCCUUUUAACAGAAUGUGCUUUGGCUAAAUAAUCCUGUGAGGUUAUGCUUUUACAAAGGAGAGGUUCGUGGAGGAUAAUGCUGUCAGGCUUGGAAGCGGCAGUAGAGAUCACGUUGCCCAGCUCUUGGCAUCAUUGGUUCCCAAAGCUCUGAAUCCCCUGGAGAGUUUUGUAAAAGGUCAGCUCUCCACAACAUGACAGAAAUAGAAGGGGCCUGGGGCUGUGGGUUGUGAAAGCUGUGGUUCUUUUGAUGCUCAACCAGGUUGAGGAACCCACUUCCCUAUGGCUCCUGCAUUCCCUCCGCAAUGUCACAAUAGGUGAUUACAUGAACACUUGUAGAGAUGGAAAAUUUUCUACCUCAAGAGCUAGCAUUUUCCAUUCUUGGACUGCUGUGCCUAUUGCAAUUCUUUUUUUUUUCCCAUAUAAUCUGGAUUCCUCCAAUUCAGGGAGCAAAAAAUGGAGACAUUUCGUUAGGGUAACCCAAAUGAAUCCCAAGGCCCCAUGUAGUCCAAUCUCUGCGUAGAGUCACAUCUUCCAAAGCGAAAAUCAUUACAAUGGAAACUUUACCUGCAAUACCCAGAGAAUGUUAUAAGGGACCCAACUGAUAACUCAUGGUAGCAUUUCUCAAAAUCCUUUUCUCUUUCUUUCUUGAUUUUCUGUUAUACCAGAGCUUCUCAUUCGCCACCCGAAACCCAAACAUCUCCAAGAGCAGCCCACUUGCCCUUUCAGGCUCUCUGUCUUUGACCUCUGUGCUCUCCCAGCAAUACAGUAUUUAGGUUGAUUUUGCCUCUCUGAUUGCCUUCAUCCCUCUCUCUGCCUUGCCCGUUACCCAGACUUCUCACAACAAAGGAGAGCCCACGAAAUGUCUCAUAAACAAAAAUCUUUCCUCCUUUCUUCUGUUCUACCUGGGCCUGUUUCUUUUUGCCCAACAUCCUGAUUUUGCAUGUUUUUAAGCCAGAAACUGGGGAAAGGAGAAGCAGAUAUCAAAGACAAAAUUCCCUUUAUUGAAAAUGACAGGAAAGGGUUAAAAUUGGGCACUGUUGCACAUUAAUAAGCCUUGUGUCUCGGCUGGGCGCGGUGGCUCACGCCUGUAAUCCCAGCACUUUGGGAGGCCGAGGUGGGUGAAUCACGGGGUCAGGAGAUCGAGACCACGGUGAAACCCCGUCUCUACUAAAAAUACAAAAAAUUAGCCGGGCGUGGUGGCGGGUGCCUGUAGUCCCAGCUACUCGGAAAGGCUGAGGCAGGAGAAUGGCGUGAACCCGGGAGGCGGAGCUUGCAGUGAGCCGAGAUUUCGCCACUGCACUCCAGCCCGGGCGACAGAGCGAGACUCCAUCUCAAAAAAAAAAAAAAAAAAAAGCCUUGUGUUCAUCACAGUAAUGACUUCCUCAUCUGCCAUUGCAAGACCACAGACCCCUACAUGGUUUACACAUUUGCUCCUCAUUCUUCUUGCCAUCUCCCCACCCCUAACAGGUGUCAUAGGUGUUCCCAAACAAAUCCCAUCGACUACCAACUCAGGUAUGUAUUUUUUUUCCCCAUGCCCUACUCUAGUUCCCUCCCUCUGAUAAUGUCUAUGGCUAAGUUCUUCCCUGAUUACCAUGUUGGGCGAUAUUAAACAGUACUGCUUCAUGCACCAGUGACUUACAGUGAAUUAUGUCAUCACACUUAGAAUUUUAGUCUCUGCAUGAGCUAAACCUGAUGACUUAAUUUCUCUGUGUGUCAGCUUCCUCAUCUGUAAAUGGGCAACCAUAAAAAUCUUACUCAAGGGGUCGUGAGAACUUGAGUAAAGUGCUUAGCACUGCAAAAUGUUGGCUCUCUACAUAUACCAACAUUUCCAUUUUUCUUUUUACCAUUCUUUUUUGAAGGGGACAGGAAGAAGAGAAAGGUGAGUCUGCUAGGAAGUGAAGAGGACCUGGUGAAGACUUAGAGCAGGAGCCAGCAAGCUAUGCUAGACCAAACUGGACCUACUGCCUGCUUUUGUAAAUCAAGCUUUAUUGAAACACUGUCACUCUCCUUCAUCUAUGGCACUUUUGUACUACAAUUGCAGAGUCAGACUCAAACAAUCCAGUGGGACACUCUGAAAUUUAGAGGAAGUGGUCCAAUAGAAUUUUCUGGAAUUAUGGAAAUCUUCUAUUUUGUGCAUCCAGUGUAGCAGAAUCUAGUCACAGGUGGCUUUUGAGAACUGGAAAUAUGGCUAAUGCAACUGAGAAAGUGAAUUUUUACUUUUGACUCAUUUAAAUGUAAAUGAUCACAUAUGACAUCACUGCCAUAUUGGACAUUGCAGUUCUGGAAGAUGGCAGAUGCAGCCCUUAGAAGAAUCAUCGGCCUGAAUGUCUGGGCGGAGCAUAGCACUACCUUCCCACUCGCUCUUCCCCUCCUCUCACCCCCUCCCCUGCCUCACUUGCAUCAGACUGUGAUGUGAGCAAAAGCAUGAAACAGCUCUUUUGAUAGGCCUGUGAGACUUGCUGUUUAUUGGACUAGCUAGGCUGCUCUGACUCAUACACACCCGAAUCGUGGCAACCACUUUUAUGAAGAAAUGACAAUUCAGUCUACUACUUGUCCAUGUUACAUGCCCAAGGAAUGUGAGGGGCCUCUGCUUGGAUCUAGUUUUCAACCUAGUCUGUGGCAUUGAUUAUCCUGUUUAAAAGACAAAAGAGGUGACUUCAUGGGCACUUAACAUCUUGGCCAUACUGACCCCAGCUGCACGCUAUGUAGGAAGUUUUAGUCCAUUUAAACUGAAGUUCCAAUUUUUUUUUUACAACCAUUUAAAAUUGUCCAUGUCCCAUACAUGACAGAGAAAGGGUUGUCUGGUUGGAUGAUUUUUGGCUCACAAAAAAAGAACACAAAAGAAAAGCAUACGUUUUAAUACUCAAGAGACCAAAUUCUCUGCUGAAGAGGAAAUGAACUACAUAUCCAGAAGGGUCCUGCCAAGAGGCCAAACAGGCUGUACUCUCUUGGGGGAGUUCUCAGUGGUGAUGAGAACUUUUUUUUUUUUUUUUAAGUCAUUUCCAAGGUGAGAUACUGACUUGCUGCGGGAGCAGGAAAACUGGUCUUUCAUUGCUAGCAGCAGAGUAAGGGUCUUGCAAGUUUCAGGCAGCAGCAGAGAAAGCAUCUUGCAAGUUUCAGUCCAAAGCAAGAAGAGCUAGGAUUGCACCAGCCAUCUCACCUACUCUGUGCUCACCUGUUUCUGGAUGAACCACGGUGACAUCUGUUUUAUUGUAAAGAGAACCAAUUUUGGAAUCAAAUGGAACCUGUAUUAAAAUCCUGAAUCCGUCA